UUAAUUGAAGAGUUUGAUCAUGGCUCAGAUUGAACGCUGGCGGCAGGCCUAACACAUGCAAGUCGAGCGGUAGCACAAGAGAGCUUGCUCUCUGGGUGACGAGCGGCGGACGGGUGAGUAAUGUCUGGGAAACUGCCUGAUGGAGGGGGAUAACUACUGGAAACGGUAGCUAAUACCGCAUGACGUCUUCGGACCAAAGUGGGGGACCUUCGGGCCUCACGCCAUCAGAUGUGCCCAGAUGGGAUUAGCUAGUAGGUGGGGUAAUGGCUCACCUAGGCGACGAUCUCUAGCUGGUCUGAGAGGAUGACCAGCCACACUGGAACUGAGACACGGUCCAGACUCCUACGGGAGGCAGCAGUGGGGAAUAUUGCACAAUGGGCGCAAGCCUGAUGCAGCCAUGCCGCGUGUAUGAAGAAGGCCUUCGGGUUGUAAAGUACUUUCAGCGAGGAGGAAGGCAUUGUGGUUAAUAACCGCAGUGAUUGACGUUACUCGCAGAAGAAGCACCGGCUAACUCCGUGCCAGCAGCCGCGG
rnacentral:rRNA from 1 species